rnacentral:rRNA from 1 species
GGAUAGCCACUAGAAAUGGUGGGUAAUACUGUAUAAUCCCUGCGGGGGAAAGAUUUAUCGCUACAUGAUGAGCCUAUGUUAGAUUAGCUAGUUGGUGGGGUAAUGGCCUACCAAGGCAGUGAUCUAUAGCUGGUCUGAGAGGAUGAUCAGCCACACUGGAACUGAGACACGGUCCAGACUCCUACGGGAGGCAGCAGUGGGGAAUAUUGGACAAUGGGCGCAAGCCUGAUCCAGCUAUGCCGCGUGAGUGAGGAAGGCCUUAGGGUUGUAAAACUCUUUCAGUAGGGAAGAUAAUG